rnacentral:sRNA from 2 species
UGCCCUCGUCCGACGAAAACCCAAACUUGUGGCAGGAACGGGGGACCCACUUCUGGGCGCCGAUAUCGGGCGUCCUCGGGGUGAAGCCGCAAAUGCGGCCGGGCAGUCCCAGCCCGAACCCGACAGCUCACUUCGCAGGCGUGGGGAAGGGCAUAA